rnacentral:rRNA from 1 species
AGUGAACGCUGGCGGUAGGCCUAACACAUGCAAGUCGAACGGCAGCACAGUAAGAGCUUGCUCUUACGGGUGGCGAGUGGCGGACGGGUGAGGAAUACAUCGGAAUCUACUUUUUCGUGGGGGAUAACGUAGGGAAACUUACGCUAAUACCGCAUACGACCUACGGGUGAAAGCAGGGGAUCUUCGGACCUUGCGCGAUUGAAUGAGCCGAUGUCGGAUUAGCUAGUUGGCGGGGUAAAGGCCCACCAAGGCGACGAUCCGUAGCUGGUCUGAGAGGAUGAUCAGCCACACUGGAACUGAGACACGUGCCAGACUCCUACGGGAGGCAGCAGUGGGGAAUAUUGGACAAUGGGCGCAAGCCUGAUCCAGCCAUACCGCGUGGGUGAAGAAGGCCUUCGGGUUGUAAAGCCCUUUUGUUGGGAAAGAAAAGCAGCAGGUUAAUACCCCGCUGUUCUGACGGUACCCAAAGAAUAAGCACCGGCUAACUUCGUG